GAGAGAGAUCUCGUUCAUGAACGAGAGUGUACAGUACACUGUAGGUCGGUCAUUUAGCAUGUGAGUCUCGUUCAGCAAUCAGCAGAAAGCGGAUGCAAAGCGCAGUUACAGGUUGCCUUUUAAAAUCUGGCAAGGGUCAACAGAUGAAAAUUUGCCUGCUGACACAUCCUGUUGCUGGCGCCACCUGAGGGCGCUAUUUUGCUCUUCUGUUUCUGCCUGUGUUUUAGUCAAGGACUCCAUAUCCCAUCAUGCAUUGUGUCUUGUGAUUGUCAACCAGUUUCACCAGUGUCCUAUUUCCUGUUUGUCCCUGCACAUGUGUAUAUAUAUAUUGCCUUUGCCUUCAGUGCUAAGUUUUCGAUCGUUGUUUAUUUAAUGUUGUGUCUUGUGGUUCUCUUCUGAUCGUGGAGGUACAUGUUACCCUUUUUUGUUUUCUCUUGUGGUUUUGGAUUACUCUGUGGACGUUAUGUUACUCUGUGAACUUUGUUCAAAGGAUUAUACUGCAUUUGGAUCCGCUCCCUGUUUUCCCUUGCCCAGCACGUAACGGAACGAUCGAUCAACAAUGGAUCCAGCAGCCUGUUUGGCCUAUCUUUGCCAAUUCCCUCGAGGACCAUAUCGAGGACUUUAUUGGACAUUGCAUGUUUUUCCAAAUAUCUUGAUUGUGUGUUAAUUGAUCUGUUUUGUUAAUUGAUAAUUAUCAUUGCACAAUCUCCCGUUAUGGUCCUCGGCUCAGUUUAGGUCUAUGCACUUUUAUCUUGUGGUUCCAUCUUCACAGUUGGUGUGGAGGAGGCUUCCUCCGUGGGCUCCAGUGGCCACAUCACGGAGCCUGGCAGACCAAGACUACCACCUUGCACAACUCUGAGGAUUACCAGCCCAGUGUUUGUUGCACCCUCCACUCCUGUAUCUCUCCUCAAGACAGCAGCCACAUAGAGACUGAAGCAACAGCAGCAGCAGCAGUGGUGAUGAUCAAGACACUUGCGAAUGAUAUUGACACCUGUCAUUUAAUCACAGCCCCUCUGACACACAUCAGUUUACAUAAAGUAGGCCAAAAGCAAUGACGUCUUGCCUAUGCUAAUUAGCACUGCUCCACAGAUCAAAUUUUGUCCUGUAUUUCAUAGUAACAAAGUUGGCAACCCUACCGCCACGCCAAGGUCAUCAGCCGCCAUGGACGACUCAGCCGUCUUCCCAGGUGUCAUGGACGAAACUCCAGACUUUCCAGUUUUCACCAUUUUCAAAACUGCUACAAAAUAAUGAAUAAGUCAGAGACAGGUGGUCGAGUGGUUCGUGCUCCGUCAUGUGGCGCCGGUGCGUCCUGGGCGACCCGAGUUCGAAUCCCGGCUCGUGGUCCUUUCCCGAUCCUACCCCCUCUCUCUCAUCCACUUCGCUUCCUGUCCUCUCUGAAAAGAGUCACUCUCUCUGUCAAAUAAAAAGGCAAAAAAACGCCAAAAAUAAAUCUUUAAAAAAAAAUAAUGAAUAUGACUUUUACAAAGCAGGAAUACAGUGAGUUCAUGAUAAUGUUUUACAUUAAAGCAACCAAUAAAAGUUACUUGAGCUAAAAACGGAAUGUAACAAAGCAUAAUUAGAGAUUAAACGAUUACCGGUUUCAGGAUAAGCCACGCUAAAAUAUCCUGACGGUAUCCUGGGGGGGUUGGGGGGGUGGUUGGUGCGAUAGGCUGCUUUAGAAUUUGUAAGUUUUACUUAAUUAAUAUUACAUAUAGGAAUUUAUAGUCUGUUUAAUAUUUAACCUGUGCUUUUCUCUCCUUUAUCUUAAAUGUAUGCUCUCACUGUGCGUGUACGUGAGUAUGUGCGUGCGUUUGUGUUCAUGUUUGUAUAUCCCGGUGGGGACCUAAACCUGAAUACACACCAACACAUGGGGACUCGUGUCACCGUGGGGACCAAAAUUGAGGUCCCCAUGGGCAAAAAAGCUAAUAAAUUGUACAGAACAAUAUUUUUUAAAAAUGUAAAAAGUUUUCUAUGAUCUUUAGGUUUAGGGGAUAGAAUAUACAGUUUGUACAGUAUAAAAAACAUUACGCCUAUGGACUGUCCCCACGGGGAUAGUAAACCAGACGUGUGUGUGAUAGUACGUGUGCAUAUUGUGUGUGUGGAGUGUUUUGUAUGUGGGUAUGUCUGUCUUCUGUGUUUUCACAUUUUUCUUGUUUUUACAGGAACAACUUUAAUUGUUUUGCUUAUAGUCAAUAUGUCUCAUGUACAGAUGCUUUGUAACAAUGAAAAUUGUAAAAAGCGCUAUAUAAAUAAAGUUGAGUUGAGUUGGAAGACAGUGACAGCACUCGGGAGAUUUUUCCGCCAUCUAAAAGGACCAAAUCGGAGGUCCGCCAAGUCAAGUCCCGACUGUAAAUCGCAUUGACACCUAGCGGCAUCAGACAUGGUUGUGUGUGCUCUCCAGUGUGAGUUCUCAUGUCUACAUGAACACACAAGUACGGACACUCUCCAGUGUGAAUUCUCAUGUGGGUCUCAAGACUGAUUUUUUGUAUGAAACUCUUUUCACACUGAGGACAUGUGUACGGGCGCUCUCCGGU